rnacentral:tRNA from 1 species
GGCUCUGAAGUAUAUAUUACGUUGAAUUGCAAAUUCGAAAAAGUAGCUUAAGUGCUGCCGGGGCU